UCUUGAGCUGCCGGGAAGAGGCUAGAAGGAUGGUUAAUUGAUCAGUGAUCUCCCUGCUUGACCUCCUGUUGUGAUCCGAUUGAUUCCAAUGAGGUUGAGUGCCGUGGAUCAACAAGCACGACUGUGAGUGUUUGGUCUUGCAUUGUGAUGGCGUCUGAGUGUUGGCUUGGUCUCUGUUGGCUUGCUACAUAUCUAGAAAGCUCCAUGAUUUGUGCUAAGCUGAAGCGUAUCCAAUUUGGAUUUUCCAGCUCAAAAUAUCAGUAGAUUUGUUGUGGUAGUGCCUUAACAGGAUUUGAGACUUCUUCAUUCAGGAAAAGACAAGUCCGGUAGAUA